GGAGUGGUGGAGGCUCAUAGAACCUCUAAGGUGCCUUGGAGGAAUCUACACAUCUAUGACUAGUGUCCAGGCCAGGGGCUUAAAGGCGCAAAUCCAAGAGCACAGUCUGGGAAAUCUUAGUCCAGCUGCCAAUCCCAGCAUGCCCGAUAGCCACCAACACCCCAGAGAGAACAGAGGCCUUCUGGACUGGCGCUGAUUCGAGACGACCAUCGAUUUUGAGUCGGAGAGGGUCUUCGAGGCCAGGCCGUUUAUUCCAAUGGACUCCUUGGAGGGUGAGAGACCUGAGGCCCAGAGAAAAGCAACUGGCUUAAGAUUCCACGAUAUUCUACAGAGGAGGGUCCAUAGAGGAGUCCAGGAUGGUGCGAUAAGAGCUAAGAAUCCUAGCCGUACAUUGAGUCACGCAUGGGGCCUGUCGGUGUUUUCAGUCUGACACUGGAUCUCCAUGUGCUCCCAUGUCACAUUCCUGGGGAGUUCUCGAUGCAUCAUCCUGAAAGAGUAAGUCCCCCUUAUAGGAAUAUUCCUUCCAGAAAGUUCCUAAAGCCCUGGACUCUGGAAAGAAAGGCAACAUUGUCCACAUCAAAAGCAACCAGCCACCAAUAUGUCAACUACACCUAGAACCAAGUCAGACAGUCCACAAACAUGUGCUUGGGGUGCGGGUUGGGAGUGAGAUGGUAGAGGAUACAAAGCUGAAAUACCCAUUUUGUAGAACCCUGUGCUAAGCACUGGGAAAGACAGGAAGGACGGGUAAGACUCAAAGCCUGCCUUCCAGAAAUGUGCACUGUGCUGAAGGGUACAGUGGAUAGAUAGAUAAUUUAUUAAGCUCUGUGUGCCAGGCACAGUGCCAAGUGCUGGAAUACACAGACAAGUACUAUAAAAGGAAAAAGAAAGAGGGAGUGAAUGUGAACAACUGAGGAUAAGAGAAAAGGCUUCCUGGAGGAGGUGGUACCUAAGCUGGGCCUCCAAAGCGGGGAGAUGGAGGGUCAAGUUUAGGACCUGGCCUAGUAGUCCACUUGAUGACAGGCAAUCCAAUCAUAUGAGAGAAGGCUGGAAAAGGAAGGAGGCUGGCCAACUGUGGAGAGACUUGGAUGCCAGGCUAAAGUGAGGUCGGUUGAAUGACCUUUUGGAUAUGAUCAAACAAUUGGAGGAUGGGGGGAAAUGUUUUAUCUGAUUGUACAUGCAAAGUCUUUAUCAGAUCGGAG
rnacentral:lncRNA from 1 species